rnacentral:rRNA from 1 species
GAUGAACGCUGGCGGCGUGCGAUAACACAUUCAAGUCGUAACGGAGCAUAUUUAACGGAGUUUUUCGGACAAAGUUUUAUAUGACUUAGUGGCGGACGGGUGAGUAACGCGUGAGUAACCUGCCUUACACAGGGGGAUAACAGUUAGAAAUGACUGCCAAUACCGCAUAAGCGCACAGGGUCGCAUGACCUGGUGUGAAAAGUUUUUCGGUGUAAGAUGGACUCGCGUCUGAUUAGCUAGUUGGUGAGGUAACGGCCCACCAAGGCAACGAUCAGUAGCCGACUUGAGAGAGUGAUCGGCCACAUUGGGACUGAGACACGGCCCAAACUCCUACGGGAGGCAGCAGUGGGGAAUAUUGCACAAUGGGGGAAACCCUGAUGCAGCGACGCCGCGUGAGCGAAGAAGUAUUUCGGUAUGUAAAGCUCUAUCAGCAAGGAAGAUAAUGACGGUACUUGACUAAGAAGCCCCGGCUAACUACGUG